AUGGCGUGUAAAAGAAACCUGAGUUUUACUACUCCCGUGAGUAAUAGGGCUUUGCAACCAGCAGCAAGCCCACUGAGCAUAAAUGAUUUAAUGAAACAGCUGAUCUCCGGUCAGAACGCUUUGUCUCGUCAGCUUGAGGGUUUGAUGGAGAAGCAAGCUGCAAACACUGUUCUUCUCGAAGAUGCUAUCCAGCGUCUUUGUGCUCUUGAGCGAAAGUUUGACGAGCAAAGACCGCAAGAGGAACAAAGACCGCGGGAAGAGCCAUUACAUAAAAGGAUAAAGAGGGCGCACAACGUGGGCAUUGCGGAAGCUGUAAGGCGCCUUCACAAUUCGGAAAACAACCCACAUAAAUAUGAUCCACAAACUGGGUAAGACUGCUGUUUUUCUGCUAUGUUUAUUUGGCCUUUGUGGGCCAUGCUGUUUAUGGGGUUUUACAUAUUCCUUUUAAAUGUAUUUAAUGACACACUUCUCUCUUUCCACACAGAAUAAGUUUGCCUCGUAACCAAGCAGUCAUGACUUAUCAGCUAGAGGAAUUGAAAUCAACUUUUGCAGAUGCAGACCCUGAGUGUAUACAAGGUAAUUUUAAAAUGUUUGUUUAACAAUUUUAAUGUCCAUAAUUUUAGUCUCUUAUAUUUUGUCCAUCUUAUGAUUUCAAUAGUGUAGUUUCUGUCACUUAUCUGAAUUUUCUUUUAUUCAGCGUGUUGCAAGACAUACUUUGAAACACUUCGGAGUAAGUACAAUUUGUCUCAGCCAGAAAAGUCCCAGCUAAGAGAUGCCAUUAAAACAGGAGCUAAAAAACCGACAAAGGAAAAGACGGGUAAGUGUAGAAAUUCAUCAACUUGUCUUUAAAGGGAUAGUUCACCCCAAAUUGAAAAUUCUGUUAUUUUC
rnacentral:lncRNA from 1 species